GCGUUCCCGCCCCGCCCGCACCGCGACGGGGCCGCCGCUCCGCCUCGGCAGCCGCCGGGCCGCCCGCAACUUGGGGGAGAGCCAGCCCAGCGCCGAGCCGUGCCCGGGAGCGCCCCGCCAGCUCCUACUCCAAAAGACGGCAAGAAAAAGGUGUCCAGCAGCUCAGAUUUUCAAAGUCUCAGAAAGUUACAGGCCCAGAAUUACCGUGAAAUUGCAGAGGAUUCCACCAACUGCUCUCAGUUCCAUGAGAAAUUCCAGGCUCUACCUUUCCAAGUUUAAUACUGAAACACCACAGAUAAUACUUCCCUGUCAACAGAAUUUACCAUCACCUCAGAGGUUUAUAUCCCUCACAUACAAGCAUCUACUUCAUUGAGAUACCUCUGGUGACAAAGGAUCUUACACAACCUGCAUUCUGCUGGUGGAAAUAAUCACAUACAGACCUGGUCUGUGCUACUUUUAUGAAAAACACUUCAUCAGCUCUCAGCUAUGGGAAAACUCCACUUCCAUGAGUAAGCAUUAGCUCUAAAACUUCCCGAAGUCUGCUAUGGAGUAUCAGUUCACAUCUCUGGAUUAUCUCAGAAUGAGAAAUUCCACCUUAUCAUGUGGCAAGAAAAGGGGUACUUACUGCCCAUGGAGUUCAUAGGGAGGACAGGAGAGGAGGAACUCAUCUGCUCCACAUCUGUAGCUAAUGGGAAAGUGAAAAUAAGAAAGAUGUGAUGUGCAUGUUACCAAGAAGUUUUUAUUUUGAAAACUUUCAUUUACACUUAAAUUGAAUAUGCUUGUCUUUGGUCACCUGAGGAAGCUGCUUUAGAAGCAGGUAGUUUUUAACAGCAUCAGCCUUCCCUCUUUCAAGAUAUGUCUAUCUCAUCCACUUUAUCUAUAGAUGCACUUUUCCAAGCAUUUGUACUGGUAAUCUGUAAUUUGUGAUGGUUUGAGAGUGUCAAUUCAGAACAACUUCCAGCACAAAAAUUCUGGAUUACAUCAGCUUUAAACUGCAUUCAGACCAUUACUGUGGAAUGAAAAGACAUGAUGAUCUCCCAUCUGUGUCCAGUGCACUUUUAAAAGAUUCCAGAUAGGAAGAGAGAUCCUCUUCCAAAGGGAGGCAAAAUGAUGGUAUUUGAUCUGGAGCAGCAUCAAAAACAAGUGUUUUUCAACACAAGACACUCCAAAGCCUUAUUUUCUAACAGCUGAAAGAAGAAACAGAACUUCCUGCCUGUGUUUGCCAAUGAAAAACCCCAAAGUCAGAAUGUGAUCCAAACCAAAUGCCAGAUGCCCUCUGUGUUUUGGGAAGGAUCCACCUUUCCAGGACCCAAACCAGGAAAGACCUAUCUUCCAGUAACAGGGUCAGCUUUAACCCAAGAUUAGGUAAACCAAAGAUACAUUCUUUGGGGCUUGAUCUCUGUGAAAAGACCACAGCCCCUCUCAGCACAUCACCACAAACACCGAAGUCAAGCAGAUCAGUCUCCCUCUUCAUCCCUUUGGUGCUGGCAGAGCCCACAUAAUUAUAUACUCUGUAACUCCUGUUUAGCUUUAAGACCCAGUAAAUGCACACUACAAGUUACAUUCCUAACCACAGAACACAGCCCCAGAAGCACAACUCCAGCCCACAGCCAGGCUGUGCUGCCAGCCCAAAUCCUGCCUUUCACAUUCCUGCAAUUCCCAUUUCUCUGGCAGGAGGCAGUUCCCCGAGGAUCACUGUUUACACUGAAAAGUGCAAAGUUCUGCUCUAAUUAGGCAAACCACAAACAAAUGUAAACACUUCAGCAGACCAUUUUUACAGAACGUGAGAGCAGACACAGCACCACAGUGACUUAAUCCUCCUGCCGUGCCUUCCCACCUCUCCGAGCGCCUCACCGAGGAGCCUCCGAGGAGUAGCUGCUCACAGCACCAGCCACCAGAGCAGCAACAAACACAGUCACAGAUUUAUUCAGCAAUGCCCCGGGUCGUUCCUGUCCUAUUCCCCAGUGAAUCACCAAGGCAUUUACUGCCUAGAACAUCCACACAUUCAUUUAUCAUCUCGCUGUGUUCAGAAAGCUGCACGUGACGCCGCCUGCACCUUCCAACAGGCACAAUCCAGAGGACACUGCACAGGCCUGUGGUGUGCUCAGAGGAAAAAACGAUUUUGCAUCUUCCCAUUUGCCACCUUAGUCUCUCUAAUGUGGGAAUUGCUGACCCUCCAAAGGAGCCAGCAGCUCCCACACUAUACCUGUGUUUAUAAGUUAAAAAGGACUCUUCAUAUGCAGCACAGCCAUUUCAGAUCCCUGGGAAGAGUUUUGUACUUUUCCCUAUUGAAAGCUACAUGUGCUUUCACGUACAGCCAAAUUAAGCCAACAAAUAAGCACAGUUUAAAGUUACUUUUAAUCUUCUGUGAGUGGCAAGAUUUAGCCGGUGUAGAUUCAGCACUGAGCACAACUCAGCUUUCAGAAAGGUUGAAGGCCCAGCUCAGCAGAUGGUCACUCAGGGGUUACCUGCUGCUCUGGCACACAGAGGUCACUGCCCAGCACGGGGGACAGAUGGCACAGGGCAAGCACUGAGAACCCAUUGUGUGAGCAACAGUCACUCGGGAGAAAGCUACACCUGCCAACAUCUGGAAUAGUUUAUCAAGUAUCAUUCAAAAAGCAACUAAAUAUUGCACGUGCCUUCUGAAGAGAGCUUUCUGAGCGGGGUUCGGAGAAGGACAGUGCAAAUUCUUUUAAGUCCUUUAGGUUUAGAUUGUUCAUGUUAUAGGCUGCCAAUAACAAAGUGUAACUAUUUCCCAGCUCUGCUUGGGAAGGAUAAUUUCAGUUCACACUUGAAAUUAUGUAUUUUAACUAUUUCUAAUAUGUUCACCAAGGCGGACACCGCGGUCACCACAGCCCGGCUGCUCAGGUUGGAAGGCAGAAUUCCCUCAGUGUCCUGCCCAGUGCUGCUGGGAACCUGGUGAUGCCACACCCGGGGCACGGAACAUGGCACGGCUCUGGGAUCGAAGAGUAGCAACACCUCAACACUUCUGUUCCUGUGUUACUGGCAGAUGGUAUUUAUAAUGUAUUAAUCUCAAAAUCACACUUGGAUUUUUUUGUAAGUGUAUAAAAGCACAACUAAUUAUCCUACACCUGGCCUUGGAUAGGAGCAUUUAAAAAUUUCUCUCAAUAUUAAAAGAAUUCAAACAGCUCUUUAUGAAACAUGGCAAUGCUGAUUUUGCUCUCUUAUCCAUAACUCCCUCUCCUCCAGCCCUUUUUACCUUCAUAAUGACAUGCAACACAUUAAACUCCUAAAAUCAAUUCAGCUAAGGAAGAGGAGAUAUGGAUUAACAACCAGCUAAGAUUUUGGAAACUGGUUUGCUCUAAAAGAUGAAAAGGACAAAAGUCUGCUCAGCUAUGAAGAGCAGCUGCUGCCAAUACAAGUAUUUACCCCCUGACCCCUCCUCUGCCCACUCAGUGAACAGUGCCAAUUGUUUUCCUGUAUUAUACACUGUUUACAAGCCCUGAGUGGCAUGAAAGGAAUUAAUAAUUCAGCUCAUGGAGCUGAUGACCUUUAUUGGGGUACCCCUAUUUGCUGAGUAGGAAUCAGAGCAAAAAGCUCCCUUGAAGCCACAGGGUUUCUUUAAGAGUUUUUCACUUUACAGCCUAAUUGGCCACCAUAACAUAAAUCAAUUAUUUCUCCUGUUUUAAGCAACAAUGCUACCUAUUCUCAACCACUCGAUUUCUAACUUCUCUUGUAUCAAGCCAGGCCUUGUUCUUUGACUUUUACAAUGGUCUGGUAAAGACACUGGCAAGGCCAGCCUGGAGAGCUUCGCAGGACCAGGAACAUUUGGGAACCCCAGCAAAAAGAGGUUAUGCUAUUUUGAACUUCUCUUGACCUUUGCCUGCCCUUGUCCCUGGUUAUGCUAAUUGAAGGGGUAUAUGGGCUACUCCCAGAAAUGAACUUAGCCUGAACCUGUGACACAGCAUUGGACUUUGAAGAUGAGUUUGGCACCCCCUCCCCAAAGGCUGUCAUCUCACGUACAGGAAGGGACAGCAGGUGAAACACAGUACCCUGAGCACUGCAGGGAGACCCCAGGUGAGAGUGAGCAGAACGUGCUGACCCAGUUAGUCACAUCUUCCCCCGUGCCCAGGCAGCUGCCAGGGACCAAUGGCAUGGAUCCACGUGGCAAACCCACAGCUGUGCUUGUGGGGCUGCAGACAGAAGGACAUGGUCAUAGCACAGCCUCCACAGGCACAGGGUAUUGCAGGUGUGACUCUGUCAUAUCCCACAGGAGGCACUCAGUGCUCCUCUCAACCUCCUGGCUCUCAGACCAGCACAUGAUGGGCUGUCACCACCACAAGCACAUCCUGACUCACUGUGAGGUUCUCCAGGACCCCAGGUCACCCUGCCGAGCUGCUCCCCAGCCUGUACCAUUCCAUGGGCUUAUUGCAUUCCAGAUGCAGGACUUGGUGUUUGUCUCUGUUUAACUUUGAAGUUUCAAUCAACCCUUUCCUUCAGGUUAUCAAGGUCCUCCUGAACAGCAGCUGUGCCCUCAUCGUGGUGUCAUCUGCAAGUGUGACGAGUGUGUCCAUCCCAUCAUCCCCAUGGCUGAUGAAAUUGCUAAAGAGUAUUGGCCCUAAUAUUGACUCCCAAGGACAACCACAGCAUAACAGGCCGCCAGUUAGUGCUUGGACCCUUGACUGCCACCCUUUGAACAAAACAGCCCAGUUUGUCACCCAGUUUGUCUACAAGGAUGAUAUGGCAGAGACUGUGUCAAAAGCCUUGCCUAAAGUUAAAGUUAGUGACAAAAUUACUGUCUCCUCAUUCAUGGAUCCAGUCAUUUCACUGCAGUAGGAAUGAGGCUGGUCAGGCAUGAUCUUCCCUCAGUAAACCCACAGUGACUGUUCCCAAUUACCCUCCUAUUCUUCGAGUACCUGGAAGGGUCUUUUGGGAGGAUUUGCUCCAUACCCUUCCCACUGAAGGAAUGAGACGAGGAUGACCAGCCUGCAGUUCCCCAGAGCAGCUACUACUGAGCAGAGCCGAGUUAAAGGUGAUUCAUUGUCCCUUAUCAGCUCAAUUUUACUAUACAGAGACAUUCCUCCCCUUUCCCCUACAUUGGGUAGAGCUUGCCUUACCUCAACACUGAAAACACACACUGUUUGCAGAAAGAAGUGGGAAGUAAGGUCAUUGUGAUAAAUAUUUUUACUCAUUUUCCUUCACACAGAAAACAAUCCCAGUUCCUGCUUACCAACAAAACUGAAAGGAAACCUACACAGAGUUGAAUGUUCCAUGAACCUGCACUGCAUUCCUCAAUAAACACUCUACAGACAUUGUUAUUUUAAA